UACGUAGGGGGCAAGCGUUGUCCGGAUUUAUUGGGCGUAAAGAGCGUGUAGGCGGCCAGGUAGGUCCGUUGUGAAAACUCGAGGCUCAACCUCGAGACGUCGGCGGAAACCCUCUGGCUAGAGUCCGGAAGAGGAGAGUGGAAUUCCUGGUGUAGCGGUGAAAUGCGCAGAUAUCUGGAGGAACACCGGUGGCGAAGGCGGCAUCCUGGACCAAUUCUGACACUGAGGAGCGAAAGCCAGGGGAGCAAACGGG
rnacentral:rRNA from 1 species